CAGCCAUCUCUCGUGUAUGACCUCUGAGGAGCUCCUCUUUGUUAUCUGCUCUGCCACCAGAAUGAUUUGAUAGAGCACCAAUGCUUUUCAGAGGGUGCCUCAUUAGUGAACCGUGGCACAGAUCAGGCCUCAGCAACAAAGAUUUGAGAUACUGGAGCGCAGCCCAUGAGUUGGGAGUGGAGGAAAGGAAAAGCUGCAGCUUGGCUUCUUCUCUCUGACCACUAGCCAGCUCCAUAUCUCAGGAUGGAUCCAGCAGGAACAUGGGAGCUGACAUGCAAGAAGCCCCAGUGCUCUGCCAAGGCCACACAGGUCAGGGGAAAAGUGUGACUUUGCCAAAUUCGCAAAGCGCCGCGGACGUGGCUGGCCUGGCAAUGACUCAGGGGUGAGUAGCUGCAAGAACCUCCAAGGCCAGACUUUGGAGGCGUUUUGCUAUCUAAAGAAAGCAGUAAGGUGUUAAAUGCUGAAGAGCUUUAAAAACCUAUGUGCCGGUCUUCCUUACCAGCACCUGUGGCUGCUGGGGAGUGUGUA